GAUAACAGCCAUAUUACCCUGCAGCCCAAGACCGGUUACUCCCUGAAGCUAUGCAGGGCUGAGCCUGGCCAGUACCUGGCUGGGAGACCACAUGGGAAAACUAGGUUGCUGUUAGAA
rfam:Danio rerio chromosome 4, GRCz11 reference primary assembly.